UACAGAGGGUGCGAGCGUUAAUCGGAAUUAUUGGGCGUAAAGAGCUCGUAGGCGGUUUGUCGCGUCUGCUGUGAAAACCUAAGGCUCAACCUUGGGCUUGCAGUGGGUACGGGCAGACUAGAGUGCGGUAGGGGUGACUGGAAUUCCUGGUGUAGCGGUGGAAUGCGCAGAUAUCAGGAGGAACACCGAUGGCGAAGGCAGGUCACUGGGCCGCAACUGACGCUGAGGAGCGAAAGCAUGGGGAGCGAACAGG
rnacentral:rRNA from 1 species